rfam:Heterocephalus glaber contig59540, whole genome shotgun sequence.
GCAGAUGUAGCUCAGAGGUACAGUAUGUGCUUAGCAUGUACUAGGCCCUUGGUUCGAUUCCCAGCAUCACCA